CACUCCUACGGGAGGCAGCAGUGGGGAAUAUUGGACCAUGGGCGCAAGCCUGAUCCAGCCAUGCCGCGUGAGUGAUGAAGGCCCUAGGGUUGUAAAGCUCUUUCACCGGUGAAGAUAAUGACGGUAACCGGAGAAGAAGCCCCGGCUAACUUCGUGCCAGCAGCCGCGGUAAUACGAAGGGGGCUAGCGUUGUUCGGAUUUACUGGGCGUAAAGCGCACGUAGGCGGACUAUUAAGUCAGGGGUGAAAUCCCGGGGCUCAACCCCGGAACUGCCUUUGAUACUGGUAGUCUUGAGUUCGAGAGAGGUGAGUGGAAUUCCGAGUGUAGAGGUGAAAUUCGUAGAUAUUCGGAGGAACACCAGUGGCGAAGGCGGCUCACUGGCUCGAUACUGACGCUGAGGUGCGAAAGCGUGGGGAGCAAACAGGAUUAGAAACCCGAGUAGUCCC
rnacentral:rRNA from 1 species